AAGAGGAUAUAUGUGUGUAUAAUGAGUUAUAUGAUGUAUGAGAUCAUGUUUGAGUAUUUGAGUAAUUUUGAGCAUGAAAGUGAGAAGAGAAUUGAAAUGAUGCGUUUGUUGAAACGUUUUCCUUGAGAUUUGAGUCUAAGAUGUAGGAGGAGAGUCAAUUUGAGUUAUGAUGAGUAUUAAGUUGUGCUUGAAUGUUUUUUAGUGCUAUAAGUGUUUAAAAAUGAGCUUUGAUGAGUUUUCUUUGAAGGAAUGUUGAGUUGAGCAUGUUUACUUGUGUGG
rnacentral:lncRNA from 1 species